rnacentral:rRNA from 1 species
CCUACGGGAUGCAGCAGUGGGGAAUAUUGGGCAAUGGGCGCAAGCCUGACCCAGCAACGCCGCGUGAAGGAAGAAGGCUUUCGGGUUGUAAACUUCUUUUCUGAGGGACGACGAAAGUGACGGUACCUCAGGAAUAAGCCACGGCUAACUACGUGCCAGCCGCCGCGGUAAUACGUAGGUGGCAAGCGUUAUCCGUAUUUAUUGGGUGUAAAGGGCGUGUAGGCGGGAAAGCAACGCAGAUGUGAAAACUCAGGGCUCAACCCUGAGACUGCAUUUGAAACUGUUGUUCUUGAGUGCUGGAGAGGGAAACGGAAUACCGGGGGGAGCGGUGAAAUGCGUAGAUAUACGGAGGAACACCAGUGGCGAAGGCGGAUUGCUGGACAGUAACUGACGCUGAGGCGCGAAAGCGUGGGGAGCAAACAGGAUUAGAUACCCCUGUAGUC